rnacentral:rRNA from 1 species
GGAUAACCUGCCCUUGGGUCCGGCAUAACCCCGGGAAACUGGGGAUAAUUCCGGAUAACGCACAUAUGCUGGAAUGCUUUAUGCGUCAAAUGGAUUCGUCUGCCCAAGGAUGGGUCUGCGGCCUAUCAGGUAGUAGUGGGUGUAAUGUACCUACUAGCCGACGACGGGUACGGGUUGUGAGAGCAAGAGCCCGGAGAUGGAUUCUGAGACACGAAUCCAGGCCCUACGGGGCGCAGCAGGCGCGAAAACUCUACAAUGCAGGCAACUGCGAUAGGGGAACAUCGAGUGAUACUCAUAUUGGGUGUCUGUCCUUCCGUCUAAAAAACGGGAGUUAGCAAGGGCCGGGCAAGACCGGUGCCAGCCGCCGCGGUAAUACCGGCGGCUCGAGUGGUGGCCGAUAUUAUUGAGUCUAAAGGGUCCGUAGCCGGCUUGGCAAGUCUCUUGGGAAAUCCGGCGGCUUAACCGUCGGUCGUCCGGGAGAUACUACCUUGCUUGGGACUGGGAGAGGCGUGAGGUACUCAGGGGGUAGGAGUGAAAUCCUGUAAUCCUUUGGGGACCACCGGUGGGCGAAGGCGUCACGCCAGAACAGGUCCGACGGUGAGGGACGAAAGCUAGGGGCACGAACCGGAUUAGAUACCCGGGUAGUCCUAGCCGUAAACGAUGCUCGCUAGGUGUCACGACAAUCGUGAAUUGUCGUGGUGCCGUAGGGGAANCCGUGAAGCGAGCCACUUGGGGAAGUACGACCGCANGGUUGAAACUUAA